CAGCAGGAUUUAGACUACAAUACAGCUGUUAAGUGCUAUUUUGUCAUUCCCCCUGCUCAAAGUAAUGUUGUUUCUUAUCUGUCCUUGUCUGCUAGUUUCUUGUAGCAGCCCAGGGACCCUUGGUCUCAUACAU
rnacentral:snoRNA from 1 species